AUCCUGGAUCACUGUGGGAAAUGAAAGGAACUGGUUUUUAGCAAGGAGACCAAGAAACUCUACUCCCUAGGGGCUAGCAAUGAGAGAAAGGAAGCCUUAAGUCUUUGAGCACAGGGUGACAGUUUGGGUCCUAUGUGAGAUGAUCAAAUCCACAGCAACAGAGGAAAGGACAAAAGGAAAAGAUACUUCGAUGGAAUCAGCAGCCAUUGUUGAUCCAAUGCCAACUCCAAGACUGGAACGUCGCAAUGAUAGUUCCAAGGCGGAAAUUUGACGUAAUUCUUUUCGACACAGUUUUACAGCUGGAACACCGUUGCCACUGACCAUUUAGAUGACUGCUGCAGUCCCCACUGCUCACUCUGGUUCAGGUUGCUUCUUCCAGAUCCCUUUUGAUCUAUUUUCAGCUAUGGAUUCAUGAGAAUCAAGACUAAGCAGCCUGAAUUGAAGGAGUAACAGUAUCACCUAACAAUGAUUUUGCUGCCAUAGUAGCUGUUUGUAUACUGGCCAUAUGCCUAGGUAAAAUGAGGCCAGAUCACUCUCAGAGUUUUCUAUCAGAGUUGGUGGCGAACUACUGCUCACUGAUAAUGAGGUGAAACCCCAGCUGAGGAGGCAAAUAUACUCAAGGAAAGUAAUAGUUUCCAAAUGCCUGGCAGUGCCAGGAAGGGGCCAUGUCCAUGGACCACUAUGUAAGGAUAUCUCAGUCUCUAGUCCAGCGUGGUUUAUGGUGCCAAAUAAGUGCCAGGUGAACUCACUACAUCUGACAAAAUCUCAAGGAACCAAGUUUACCAGAUAAUAUUUAUGAUUAUGUGAAAAAGACUGAGGAAAUCACUCAAGUGAUCCAUCAUACAGCACCUCCAGUUCCAAAGAAUACUGACUUACUUCAGCUGUACUGGUCUGGAGCUGCACAUUCUUUUCAGACAACUCUUGUUCCAGUAAGUUCAGGUGACUCUUCUCCUGUAACAGAGCCUCCUUCUUAGAAACUAUGGCCUCCCGUUUCUUUAAGUCUGCUUCCAGCUCCUCUAAUUCUUGGCGUUG
rnacentral:antisense_RNA from 1 species